AUAUUGUUGUUAGGUUCGUUUAUCUCAAUUCGUCAACAAAGCUUGCCGAAGUUAGAGAGAAUUUUCUAGAAUUUUUGAAAUUAAUGAAUAUUGAUUUAGAUGAUUUACGAGGCCAAGGGUAUGAUAAUGGGGCAAAUAUGAGAGGCAAAAAUAUUGGCCUUCAAAAUAAAUUUUUAGACAUGAAUCCUCGUGCGUAAAGAACUCUAUUGCGAAACUAAAUUUUCUGAAACUGUUUGUCCACGUCCCUGAAAAAGACAUUUCAAUUAGGUUCGAGGCUGCAGACGAGCCUCUGUUAGACCGAAAAAAAACUUUUAAAGUUAAGUAUUAUUUAUUGGACACUGCCAUUGCAAAAUUAAGUAAAAGAUUUGAAAUGUUGAGCGAACAUAAUCAUAAUUUUUCGUUCUUGGAAAAUAUAUUGAGUUGGAGAAACUCCGAAGAAAACUUAAAAAACACACAAUGUUUGAAUUUACAAAAAAACUAACGCAUGGAAAUAGAUCUCAAAUAGGUAGAUGAUGAAGAUCUAUUCCAUGAGUUAGAAUUGUUACCAAUAUUUUUUAUAAAUAAAGACACAACUCCACUCGAUAUUUUAAGUUAUAAGUAUAAUCUAAUAAGUAAUUUACUCUCCGUUUUCCCAAAUAUUUCUAAGGAUAUAUGAACACUUCCAGUAACAGUAGCUGAAGGAGAAAGGUCUUUUUCUAAACUUAAAUUAAUCAAAAAUUAUCUGCGCUUAACAAUGGGCCAAGACAGAUGAACAAACCUGGCUUUAAUAGGUAUAGAAA